CCAGACCCAACCACACUACUGGAAACACCAGAGUGGUGGAUCAUGGAGGGCUAUUUUAGAAACUGCCUGCCAUAGGCUGGUAUUUGAACGGAGACAUCAAGAAGGGAAGAAAUCUGAGGAGGUCAAAUUGUCCUCUGCCCUGACCGUCUCUGAUGGAAGCUGUCUCCGCUGUCCCCGGCACUGUCCAGCUGCCCAGCAUGGCCUCCCUUUGCUCCACUCCAACCUCUACACCAUGAAGCUUUUGCUCACA